rnacentral:rRNA from 1 species
GGGGGGGGGGGGGGGCGGGCGGGGGAGAGGGAAGGGGGGGGGGGAGGGGCGGAGGUCGGCGGCAGACGGGGGGGGAACACGGGGUAAGGGACCCUUCGGUUCGGCGCAACUCGGGGAAGCUGGAGCUCAUACCGGAUACGCCCUGAUUGGGCACGGUUGACUGCCGAAGGAGCGUCCCGCGUUUGAUUGGCUCGUUGGUGGGGUAACUGCCUACAAAGGCGACGAUCAGUAGCUGGUCUGUAAGGAUGAUCAGCCACUCUGGGACUGAGACACGGCCCAGACUCCGACGAGAGGCAGCAGUGGGGAAGAUAGGACUAUGGGCGCAAGCCUGAUCCAGCCAUGCCUCGUGAGUGAUGACGGUCUUAGGGUUGUAAAUCUCUUUUGUCCGGUACUAUAAUGACGGUACCGGAAGAAUAAGCCCCGGCUAACUUCGUG